rnacentral:sRNA from 1 species
AGUGCUGUUCCCCCGCGCCGUCCACACCCGCCUGACCGCUCCUCGCUACGUUCUGUUAGCC